rnacentral:rRNA from 1 species
UCCGGUUGAUCCUGCCAGAGGCUAUUGCUAUCAGGGUUUGACUAAGCCAUGCGAGUCGAGAGGUGAGACCUCGGCAUACUGCUCAGUAACACGUGGAUAAUCUGCCCUCAGGUGAGGAAUAAUCCCGGGAAACUGGGGCUAAUACCUCAUAGGAGACAGGUGCUGGAAUGCUCUGUCUCCGAAAGGUCUGCCGCCUGAGGAUGAGUCUGCGUCCGAUUAGUAGUUGUUGGGGUAACGGCCCAACAAGCCAUUGAUCGGUACGGGUUGUGGGAGCAAGAGCCCGGAGAUGGAUUCUGAGACAUGAAUCCAGGCCCUACGGGGCGCAGCAGGCGCGAAAACUUUACAAUGCGAGCAAUCGUGAUAAGGAAACCCUGAGUGCCUGUCAAUGCAGGCUGUUCUGGUGUCUAACACACACAGGAGAAAGGGCGGGGCAAGACCGGUGCCAGCCGCCGCGGUAACACCGGCGGCCCGAGUGGUAACCGCUAUUAUUGGGUCUAAAGGGUCUGUAGCCGGCCAGGUAAGUCCCUUGGGAAAUCUGGCAGCUCAACUGUCAGGCUGCUAGGGGAUACUGUUUGGCUUGGGACCGGGAGAGGUGAGAGGUACCUUGGGGGUAGGGGUGAAAUCUUGUGAUCCUCGAGGGACCACCAGUGGCGAAGGCGUCUCACCAGAACGGGUCCGACGGUAAGGGACGAAAGCUAGGGGCACGAACCGGAUUAGAUACCCGGGUAGUCCUAGCCGUAAACGAUGCUCGCUAGGUGUCAGUCACGGUGCGACCGUGAUUGGUGCCGUAGGGAAGCCGUGAAGCGAGCCACCUGGGAAGUAUGGCCGCAAGGCUGAAACUUAAAGGAAUUGGCGGGGGAGCACUACAACGGGUGGAGCCUGCGGUUUAAUUGGAUUCAACGCCGGAAAUCUCACCGGGGGCGACAGCGAUAUGAAGGUCAGGCUGAAGACUUUACCGGAUUAGCUGAGAGGUGGUGCAUGGCCGUCGUCAGUUCGUACUGUGAAGCAUCCUGUUAAGUCAGGCAACGAGCGAGACCCACAUCCACAGUUGCCAGCAUAUUCUCCGGAAUGAUGGGUACACUGUGGAGACCGCCGCUGCUAAAGCGGAGGAAGGAGUGGGCAACGGUAGGUCAGUAUGCCCCGAAUCUCCCGGGCUACACGCGGGCUACAAUGGUUGGUACAAUGGGCAUCUACCCCGAAAGGGGAAGGAAAUCUCUUAAAACCAAUCGUAGUUCGGAUUGAGGGCUGCAACUCGCCCUCAUGAAGCUGGAAUCCGUAGUAAUCGCGUUUCAACAGAACGCGGUGAAUACGUCCCUGCUCCUUGCACACACCGCCCGUCAAACCACCCGAGUAGGGUCUGGAUGAGGGUGUGUUUUAUUGACACAUUCGAAUCUGGGCUUUGCAAGGGGGGUU